rnacentral:RNase_P_RNA from 1 species
AGACAAACGCUAUUAUUUAUAAUAGAGGAAAGUCCAUGCUCACUCAUUCUGUGAUGAAUGAAAGUGUUCGCGCUAGGGGAAAAAAUAACCCUAGGUAGUAUUUUUAUACUAACGGCGGCGAGAUAAUCAAGACCUGAUUAUAGUAGCCAUAAAGUGCCAUAGAGACGAGAUAAUUAGGGAUAAUUAUUGUGGAACGAGGUAAACCCCACGAGUGAGAAACCCAAAUUUGGUAGGGGAGCUCUUACGAAUGAAUAAGAAAAGAGUAAGGGAAGGAGAAAUCCUUAGAUAAAUGUUUGUCACCUUUUAGGUACAGAACAUGGCUUAUU